rnacentral:lncRNA from 1 species
CCCUGCACCCCUCUUCCCACUCCAGCUCAGGAGGCCGCCUCUCCCAGAGGAUGAAGAACCUCAGGAGCGGUGCGGGGGCGAGACUGAGGAGCCUGAACGAUAAUUCCACUAUGCAUAUAAAAGUAUGGUUAUGAUAAUAUAUAUCUGGAGGAACUUUGUCUUAUGUUAUCCAGGUGCUGUUCCAUGAGAUUGAAGGAAUAAAUCACAGCGUGGAAGGCAAUGGCAGCUUGGAGUGAUCAGUGACAGACAGUAGAGGUCAUUGAAUGCUUGGACUUCAGCUUUUUUUUUUUUUCCUGUUUAUUCUUUCUAGAAUCUCAGCCCAUAGAAAUGAGGUCUUAGGAUAGGUUUUACCACCUCCAUUAACUCAACCUAGAAACUUUCUUGAACAUACUUAGAAUGUAUUUCAUUAUUGAACUUAUAUUGCAGCAAGUUGAUACUCGUGAUUAAGAGUAACUACCUCACUUAUCUCCCUCAGUGAAAUGAGGA